AGCAGCCGCGGUAAUUCCAGCUCCAAUAGCGUAUAUUAAAGUUGUUGCAGUUAAAAAGCUCGUAGUUGAAUUUCGGGGUCAGUAGGUUGGUCGUGCCACUGGUAUGCACUGGUCUCACUGAUUCCUCCUUCUUGUAGAACCGUAAUGCCAUUAAUUUGGUGUUGCGGGGAAACAGGACUGUUACUUUGAAAAAAUUAGAGUGUUUAAAGCAGGCUAACGCUUGAAUACGUUAGCAUGGAAUAAUGAAAUAGGACGUUCGAUCCUAUUUUGUUGGUUUCUAGGAUUGACGUAAUGAUUAAUAGGGAUAGUUGGGGGCAUUAGUAUUCAAUUGUCAGAGGUGAAAUUCUUGGAUUUAUUGAAGACUAACUACUGCGAAAGCAUUUGCCAAGGAUGUUUUCAUUAAUCAAGAACGAAGUUAGGGGAUCGAAGACGAUCAGAUACCGUCGUAGUCUUAACCAUAAACUAUGCCGACUAGGGAUCGGAUGAUGUUAAUUUUUAAUGACUCA
rnacentral:rRNA from 1 species